ensembl:snRNA U6 U6 spliceosomal RNA
GUGCCUGCUUGCUUCGGCAGCACUUAUACUAAAACGGAUACAGAUCCUGAGAAGAUUAGCGUGGCCCCUGGGCAAGGAAGAGAUGAAAAUUCCUGAAGCGUUCCAUACCAGA